rnacentral:rRNA from 1 species
AACGAACGCUGGCGGCAGGCUUAACACAUGCAAGUCGAACGCCCCGCAAGGGGAGUGGCAGACGGGUCAGUAACGCGUGGGAAUCUACCUAGUUCUACGGAACAACAGUUGGAAACGACUGCUAAUACCGUAUACGCCCUACGGGGGAAAGAUUUAUCGGAAUUAGAUGAGCCCGCGUAAGAUUAGCUAGUUGGUGAGGU